ACAUUUCCACUGUAUUUUUGAUUAUUUUAAUUACUUUCUCAUGAAAAAAAAAAACCUUUAGGAAUUCCAGAACCUAUCUAGAUAAGGGUCAUUGUUACAUCAAUUAAUUACAUCAGUUUUACAGGAACGGACCUGGGGUGGCUUCACUCAUAUCUAUGACCAAAAGAGACUCAGAAUGAAAGGCUCAUGGCAGCUAUUGGACAUAUCAUUCCCACCUUUACUUUCCCUCGGAGCAGAGAAACAUGGAUGAAAUCAGAGAGAGAGCUUUCUAAAUGCAACCUCUUCACACAUGGAAUAGGUUCACUGGAAGCAGCUGGAGAUCGGCAGAUCUGGAGCCAGUUACGCACUUGCCACAGACUCCUACAUUUGAGAUCUGGACCAAAUUUAUAGCUGAAAAACACUGCCCUCCGCAGGCUGAGAGCUUCAGAAGCGCAGCAGAAGCAGAAGCAGCAAUAGCUCUGCUAUUUGGGGUAACCUGCAAACACACAGAGCAAAGCUCUGUGUUUACACCAGUGAUUCUUCCUGUGGAUUCAGGAAAGGGGUGUGUAGAAAUCUACUGCAAAAGCUUCAAAAGAAAAAAAAAGAAAUUAAAUAAAAACACUGCAGCUUCCACAGCAGAGUGUGAGCAGUGAUACAGAGAUGCACCAGGAUGGCAGCAUCAAGUGUUUUCUCCCCCUCCACCCAGGAACCCAAGGUCUGCAUGAAAGCUGCUCACUAACCUGUACAGCUGACAAAGGCUUUCAUCCUUAGCGUCAGGCUCCAAAUUCACUGCAAACAAUGAGAACGUUGUCGCAGAAUGCUGGCUCAUGCCUGUCAUGAUCAGGGAAUGACUUACUUGAGGGAGAUGACUGGGCCUGUAAAGGGAAAUGUACAUCAAAUGUAGAUGACUGUGAGGAAAUAGGACUAGGGGCAACUGACCCAAACAAGAAAUCCAUAUUAAAUGGGAGAAUUAUGCAACAUACUGUAGGAAAGGAUUUAAGGACAAUUCCUGAAAGUCCAAAUCCUAGUUUAGGACUACAGUUUCAGAAUAAAAAAUACAACAACAAUAAAGAAGAAAUAAAAAUAAUAACACAGAAACGUAGGUGGUGAUAGAGGAUGCAGAAAUGCAUUGAGAGUUGAGAAAAACGCAAAGCAUUUAUAGCUGCUGUAGCUUGGUACCAAAAGGACCAUCAGAGGGACAGUCACCAUUUGUCACUGAUUCAGAGAGGACUUCAAAGUGGUGCAGCAGCACCUGCCAAAACAUUGCUGAAUGUGGAGGCUGAACGUGCUUGCUGUGCUCUCAGGUAUCGCUAGCACAAGCACAGCCAGCUACAUAUCUGCUUAUACCAAAGAUUACGUUCGCUUUUUCCUCCUAAUUCUUCCAGCAUCUAAAGUAAUUGGGAUUCCACCCAGGAUAGAGAAGAUAGGGAUAGGACCUCUCAGGCUCUUUCUAUGCCGGAGCGAGAAAAAUAAAAGGAACUAGAGCGUUGAGCUAAGUGGCUUUUCCCUUCUAACAAUUGUCAUGGCCUUGAAAUUUAGUUUGAAAUGGAGCAGUCUGCUAUUUCCACAUCAAAAAUCAAUACAAUCAACAAGUUAAAACAUUCUCAGUUACAAUGAAAAAGUAUCUGGGGAAAUAAUACGAUACCUUAAUGAACAUCUGAAAACUUAAAGGCCAUCAGAAAAUAGAAAAUCUCUCUGCUUGCCCAAGGCACAGACAUGGCACCACACAGAAACUGGAGGAGAUAGGAUGUCUAUUCCCAGCCCUGUUGUCUUACUGCUCGGUGACCUUGGGCAAGUCACUUCACUGUCCCCUGCCACCAAGAAUUAUUAUUAUUUCUUUAGUUCGCUGAAAUUUCUCACAAUCUGUACUUAAAAUCGUAUUUCUCUUACAUAUAAUAAUUCUACUCCUCUAAAUAUCAGGAGUAUACGCAUAAUUUAAUAAAGUGACAGAAUUUAGCACAAAGCUGCAGUAGGAAAGAACUUGCACAGACUCUCUGACUUGCACUAACAUAUCCAAAUGAUAUUCUUGAAAAUAUUGUGAACAUACAGUAAAAGUCUACUUUUUAUUCACACAGCAUAAAAAUGAAGCAGCUUUGCACAAAGGCAGUCAGAUGAAUCAGACUGUGUCUUUUCCCAAUAAAUUUAAGGGAAGAAAAUGUUGCUUUUACUCUUCUCAUGUUAAAGAACUGACAACAGCCUAGUUUUAACUCCUUUCUUAAUGACUGCUGCCAAAGCAUCCAGCUGCCUCAGAGAUCCAGGCUCACUCACAGCUCACAGCAUUUCUUCAGCUGAGCAUCAGCUCCUGGAGAGCUGUAGGGAAACCUUCUUGCCCUCCACCCACCUUGAGAUAAUAAA